CUUUGUGGAUACUCAUACGCUCUUUGUAAUCCAUCAAUCUCUGCAGUUAAUCGAUUCAAUCCCUUGGUAAUGAAAUCCUUUCACUUCUGUUCUAAUCAUAUAUUCUUCUCCAAUCAAUCCACGAAUCAGGUACGAUAUCUUCAAUCUUUGUAACUCUGUGAUGUUUCUAAUGUUUCAAGAUCGUUGAAUCCGCCACAGAUUUUGCUCAUCGGUAUGUUCUUCUCCCACCGAUUCAAACCCUAAUUCCGAUUUUAGAUCAGGUUUUGUUGUGAGUAUCGUGAUUUUUGAGUUUAGGGUUUUUUAGUUUCGAAAUUGAUUGAUGCUUAAUAAUUAUGUGAUUAAGAGAUAUGGUCACAGGGGGUUCGGCUUUGUGACCUUUGCUGAGGACGGUGUUGCAGAUCGUGUUUCAAGAAGGUCACUCGAGAUUUGUGGACAACAGUAGUAAAGGAUACAUCAACACCUAUUGAUGAUUACUGAUGAUGGUUGUUCAAGUGGAGGCUGCCACUAUUUGGACAACCCACCUAAACCAGCGAAUGGUUGCUUAUGACAGGAUGUAUGUAAGCUUGGAUUUUGAUGAUGUGGCAUCUAUAAAUCAGAGCGUUAUGGCAGGCUGUUGGGUUUAGCUUUGCGUCAAAGGAGAAAAUGUGGAGGCAGAUGCUUACGUGGAAAAUGAAGCCAUAGUGACUAAAAUGAACCUGUUUUUUGAAGAAGCUUUCCAUUCCUCAUGUGAAGGAAUGAUGGUAAAAUCUCUUGAUGUUGAAGCUGGUUAUCUCCCAUCAAAGUGUUCGGAUUCUUGGUUAAAGGUGAAGCGAGAUUAUGUAGAAGGUUUAAAUGAUUCCUUGGACUUGGUUCCUAUUGGUGCUUGGUCCUAUUGCGAAUGGGGAACAGUAAUCAUCUUGAUCCUUCUCUUUGAUAUUUAUGGAUUUUUAGUUUUAAUUCACUGAACUGUAAAAAUGAUGACGGUUAAACUUUUCACAUGCUCUUUUAUGGCAGGCUGUUGGGUUUACCUUUACGUCAAAGACUAAAAUUUAGGGUUUCUUCAGUUAGGGUAAUGUGAUGAUUGUGGUUCAAGGCUAUCGAUUUGAAGAUAAUGGAUUCCAGCAACCAAAACUUCAACCAAUCAAGUACCGAAUUGAUGAAUCACUGUCACAAAUUUUGGGUCACUACAAUCAGUGUUGACAAUAUAUUCCUUUGGACUAAAUACCUAUGGUUUUGAUUCUCUCUCAAUCGUCGCUGCCAAGAUCUUUCGUUUUCUUUUUCAACUGGUGAUUGAAGCUGAAUAUGGGGAAGGGUUUGAGAUUUUUAGGCCAGAUGGGCCCUUGAAAGUUGAUGUUGAUUUUUUAAAUGAUAGAUUACAAGAGGGUUUUCUAAAAUGGAUUCGAUACGCGAUGAAACCUGAUGAAGCUUAUGGACUUAUUUUCUCAUGGGACAAUGUGAUGAUGAAUUUGUGUAUGGCGGCCAGUCGGGUACUCAAGCUUUAAAAUUGAGUGCUUGGAAAGAACUUGCACGUGAAGAAGGAAAGGAGAUUCCUGAGGAUGAUGAUGUAUAACGGCUUUUGCUCCAUGGUGCUCCUGAUCAUGUUUUGCAUAAGGUGUUGUCGUGGGAGAAUGAAGCAUGUGAAUUGGAAAGAUUAACAUUGAAACUCUCACAGUUAUAUAGCAACAAUCUUCUAAUUUGUUUUUUUUUUCUUUUUUUCUAAUAUACUUAAAUAGUUAAGUUAUUUAAUUUUUGUGUUUGGUGUCAUUACUUUGGAUGAUAACUUGAUUAUUUAAUUGAAAGAAGUGGAUUGUUCCAUCAUUAUCGUUA